UGGGGAAUAUUGGACAAUGGGCGCAAGCCUGAUCCAGCAAUGCCGCGUGCGUGAAGAAGGCCUUAGGGUUGUAAAGCGCUUUCGCCCGCGAGGAUGAUGACCGUAGCGGGAGAAGAAGCCCCGGCUAACUCCGUGCCAGCAGCCGCGGUAAUACGGAGGGGGCUAGCGUUGUUCGGAAUUACUGGGCGUAAAGGGCGCGUAGGCGGCGGAUUAAGUCGGGCGUGAAAGCCCCGGGCUCAACCCGGGAGGUGCGCCCGAUACUGGUUCGCUAGAGAUCGGGAGAGGUGAGUGGAAUGUCCAGUGUAGAGGUGGAAUUCGUAGAUAUUGGAUGGAACACCGGUGGCGAAGGCGGCUCACUGGCCCGUAUCUGACGCUGAGGCGCGAAAGCGUGGGGAGCAAACAGGAUUAGAUACCCCCGUAGUCC
rnacentral:rRNA from 1 species